CCCGAGAUUGUAAAUUUGGAACGAAUCGAUGCCAACGUUCACAAGAACCAAAAUCAGAACUACAUUAGAGUACUCAGUUGCGCCCUGACAGUAUAAAUUUGCAACGAGCACUUUUUCUCAUUCAAUCGAACAAAGAGUAAAAGAUACUUAUAUUGUUCGAUUAUGCCCCGAGAGUGUAAAUUUGUAACGAAUCGAUGUCAACAUUCAAAAGAACCAAAACCGGACCAACAUUAGACUACUCAGUUGCGCCCUAACAGUAUAAAUUUGCAAUGAGCUCUUUUUCUCAUUCAAUCGACCAAAGAGUAAAAGAUAGUUAUAUUGUUCGAUUAUGCCCCGAGAGUGUAAAUUUGGAACGAAUCGAUGUCAACGUUCACAAGAACCAAAACCGGAACUACAAUAGACUACUCAGUUGCGCCCUAACAGUAUAAAUUUGCGACGAGUACUUUUUCCCAUUGUAUCGAACAAAGAGUAAAAUCUAAUUAUAUUGUUCUAUUUUACCCCGAGAUUGUAAAUUUGGAACGAAUCGAUGCCAACGUUCGCUAGAACUAAAACCGGAACUACCUUAGAGUACUCAGUUGCGCCCUAACAGUAUAAAUUUGCAACGAGCUCUUUUUCUAAUUCAAUCGAACAAAGAGUAAAAGAUACUUAUAUUGUUCGAUUAUGCCCCGAGAGUGUAAAUUUGGAACGAAUCGAUGUCAACCUUCACAAGAACAAAAAUCGGACCAACAUUAGACUACUCAGUUGCGCGCUAACAGUAUAAAUUUGCGACGAGUACUUUUUCUCAUUCAAUCGAAUAAAGAGUAAAAGAUACUUAUAUUGUUCGAUUAUGCCCUGAGAGUGUAAAUUUGGAACGAAUCGAUGUCAACGUUCACAAGAACCAAAAUCGGAACUACAUUAGACUAAGUUGUGCUCUAACAUUAUAAAUUUGCAACGAGUACUUUUUCUCAUUUAAUCGAACAAACAGUAAAAACCUAAUUAUAUUUUUCUAUUUUGCUCCGAGAUUGUAAAUUUGGAACGAAUCGAUGCCAAUGUUCACAAGAACCAAAACCGGAACUACAUUAGACUACUUAGUUGCGCCAUAACAGUAUAAAUUUGCAACGAGCUCUCUUUCUCAUUCAAUCGAACAAAUAGUAAAAAAUACUUAUAUUGUUCGAUUAUGCCCCGAGAGUAUAAAUUUGGAACGAAUUGAUGUCAACGUUCACAAGAACCAAAACCGGAACUACAUUAGACUACUCAGUUGCGCCCUAACAGUAUAAAUUUGCGACGAGUACUUUUUCUCAUUGUAUCGAACAAAGAGUAAAAUCUAAUUAUAUUGUUCUAUUUUACCCCGAGAUUGUAAAUUUGGAACGAAUCGAUGCCAACAUUCAAAAGAACCAAAACCGGAACUACAUUAGACUACUCAGUUGCGCCCUAACAAUAUAAAUUUGCAACGAGCUCUUUUUCUCGUUCAAUCGAACAAAGAGUAAAAACUAAUUAUACUGUUCUAUUCUGUCCCGAGAGUAUAAAUUUGGAACGAAUCGAUGCCAACCUUCACAAAAGUCAAAACUGGAACAACAAUAGACUACUUAGUUGCGCCCUAGUAGUAUAACUUUGCAACGAGUACUUUUUCUCAUUCAAUCGAACAAAGAGUAAACGCUAAUUAUAUUGUUCUAUUCUGCCUCGAGACUGUAAAUUUGGAACGAAUCGAUGUCAACGUUCACAAGAACCAAAAUCGGAACAACAUUAGACAACUCAGUUGCGCCCUAAAAGUGUAAAUUUGCAACGAGCACUUUUUCUUAUUCAAUUGAACAAAGAAUAAACGCUAAUUAUAUUGUUCUAUUCUGCUCUGAGAGUGUAAAUUUGGAACGAAUCGAUGUCAACGUUUACAAGAACAAAAAUCGGACCAACAUUAGACUACUCAGUUGCGCCCUGACAGUAUAAAUUUGCAACAAGUACUUUUUCUCAUUCUAUCGAAUAAAGAGUAAAAGAUACUUAUAUUGUUCGAUUAUGCCCCGAGAGUGUAAAUUUGGAACGAAUCGAUGUCAACGUUCACAGGAACCAAAACCGGAACUA
rnacentral:lncRNA from 1 species